rnacentral:rRNA from 1 species
AGCCCAGAGCCUGAAUCAGUGUGUGUGUUAGUGGAAGCGUCUGGAAAGGCGCGCGAUACAGGGUGACAGCCCCGUACACAAAAAUGCACAUGCUGUGAGCUCGAUGAGUAGGGCGGGACACGUGGUAUCCUGUCUGAAUAUGGGGGGACCAUCCUCCAAGGCUAAAUACUCCUGACUGACCGAUAGUGAACCAGUACCGUGAGGGAAAGGCGAAAAGAACCCCGGCGAGGGGAGUGAAAAAGAACCUGAAACCGUGUACGUACAAGCAGUGGGAGCACGCUUAGGCGUGUGACUGCGUACCUUUUGUAUAAUGGGUCAGCGACUUAUAUUCUGUAGCAAGGUUAACCGAAUAGGGGAGCCGAAGGGAAACCGAGUCUUAACUGGGCGUUAAGUUGCAGGGUAUAGACCCGAAACCCGGUGAUCUAGCCAUGGGCAGGUUGAAGGUUGGGUAACACUAACUGGAGGACCGAACCGACUAAUGUUGAAAAAUUAGCGGAUGACUUGUGGCUGGGGGUGAAAGGCCAAUCAAACCGGGAGAUAGCUGGUUCUCCCCGAAAGCUAUUUAGGUAGCGCCUCGUGAAUUCAUCUCCGGGGGUAGAGCACUGUUUCGGCAAGGGGGUCAUCCCGACUUACCAACCCGAUGCAAACUGCGAAUACCGGAGAAUGUUAUCACGGGAGACACACGGCGGGUGCUAACGUCCGUCGUGAAGAGGGAAACAACCCAGACCGCCAGCUAAGGUCCCAAAGUCAUGGUUAAGUGGGAAACGAUGUGGGAAGGCCCAGACAGCCAGGAUGUUGGCUUAGAAGCAGCCAUCAUUUAAAGAAAGCGUAAUAGCUCACUGGUCGAGUCGGCCUGCGCGGAAGAUGUAACGGGGCUAAACCAUGCACCGAAGCUGCGGCAGCGACGCUGAUGCGUUGUUGGGUAGGGGAGCGUUCUGUAAGCCUGUGAAGGUGUGCUGUGAGGCAUGCUGGAGGUAUCAGAAGUGCGAAUGCUGACAUAAGUAACGAUAAAGCGGGUGAAAAGCCCGCUCGCCGGAAGACCAAGGGUUCCUGUCCAACGUUAAUCGGGGCAGGGUGAGUCGACCCCUAAGGCGAGGCCGAAAGGCGUAGUCGAUGGGAAACAGGUUAAUAUUCCUGUACUUGGUGUUACUGCGAAGGGGGGACGGAGAAGGCUAUGUUGGCCGGGCGACGGUUGUCCCGGUUUAAGCGUGUAGGCUGGUUUUCCAGGCAAAUCCGGAAAAUCAAGGCUGAGGCGUGAUGACGAGGCACUACGGUGCUGAAGCAACAAAUGCCCUGCUUCCAGGAAAAGCCUCUAAGCAUCAGGUAACAUCAAAUCGUACCCCAAACCGACACAGGUGGUCAGGUAGAGAAUACCAAGGCGCUUGAGAGAACUCGGGUGAAGGAACUAGGCAAAAUGGUGCCGUAACUUCGGGAGAAGGCACGCUGAUAUGUAGGUGAAGUCCCUUGCGGAUGGAGCUGAAAUCAGUCGAAGAUACCAGCUGGCUGCAACUGUUUAUUAAAAACACAGCACUGUGCAAACACGAAAGUGGACGUAUACGGUGUGACGCCUGCCCGGUGCCGGAAGGUUAAUUGAUGGGGUUAGCGGUAACGCGAAGCUCUUGAUCGAAGCCCCGGUAAACGGCGGCCGUAACUAUAACGGUCCUAAGGUAGCGAAAUUCCUUGUCGGGUAAGUUCCGACCUGCACGAAUGGCGUAAUGAUGGCCAGGCUGUCUCCACCCGAGACUCAGUGAAAUUGAACUCGCUGUGAAGAUGCAGUGUACCCGCGGCAAGACGGAAAGACCCCGUGAACCUUUACUAUAGCUUGACACUGAACAUUGAGCCUUGAUGUGUAGGAUAGGUGGGAGGCUUUGAAGUGUGGACGCCAGUCUGCAUGGAGCCGACCUUGAAAUACCACCCUUUAAUGUUUGAUGUUCUAACGUUGACCCGUAAUCCGGGUUGCGGACAGUGUCUGGUGGGUAGUUUGACUGGGGCGGUCUCCUCCUAAAGAGUAACGGAGGAGCACGAAGGUUGGCUAAUCCUGGUCGGACAUCAGGAGGUUAGUGCAAUGGCAUAAGCCAGCUUGACUGCGAGCGUGACGGCGCGAGCAGGUGCGAAAGCAGGUCAUAGUGAUCCGGUGGUUCUGAAUGGAAGGGCCAUCGCUCAACGGAUAAAAGGUACUCCGGGGAUAACAGGCUGAUACCGCCCAAGAGUUCAUAUCGACGGCGGUGUUUGGCACCUCGAUGUCGGCUCAUCACAUCCUGGGGCUGAAGUAGGUCCCAAGGGUAUGGCUGUUCGCCAUUUAAAGUGGUACGCGAGCUGGGUUUAGAACGUCGUGAGACAGUUCGGUCCCUAUCUGCCGUGGGCGCUGGAGAACUGAGGGGGGCUGCUCCUAGUACGAGAGGACCGGAGUGGACGCAUCACUGGUGUUCGGGUUGUCAUGCCAAUGGCACUGCCCGGUAGCUAAAUGCGGAAGAGAUAAGUGCUGAAAGCAUCUAAGCACGAAACUUGCCCCGAGAUGAGUUCUCCCUGACUCCUUGAGAGUCCUGAAGGAACGUUGAAGACGACGACGUUGAUAGGCCGGGUGUGUAAGCGCAGCGAUGCGUUGAGCUAACCGGUACUAAUGAACCGUGAGGCUUAACCUU